CAUAAGAGAAGAAAGAUAUUACAACAAAUGCGAAGCGAUGCUGCCUUAAUAACAAAAGAAGAAGGUGGUUCACCAAUUCACAAUCCUUCAACUGCAGCUGAAGAUGCACGAUUAGCUUCUUUAAUAUCUCUUGAGAGCAUCCUCAAACAAGUAAAGUGAACCAGUGACUGAAAUCUGCAACAAGAAAGCACAAGCUGCAACAAAUGCUGAUUGGCUCACAAUCUUGUACUUGUGAUUGUGAUGGCAACAUUUGCUACAGGAGUGGACUCCAAUUGCUGUCAG